CUAGAUCCCCUUGAAGGGUCGUUCGAGACCAGGACGUUGAUAGGUCAGGUGUGUAAGCGCAGUAAUGCGUUCAGCUAACUGAUACUAAUUGCCCGUAAGGCUUGAUCCU
rnacentral:rRNA from 3 species